rnacentral:rRNA from 1 species
AGCUUGACGGAGUCAUACCGCGUGCGGGACGACGCUCUAGGGAGUGUAAACCGCUUUUGACAGGGAAGAAUCCAUGACGGUACCUGUCGAAUCAGCCUCGGCUAACUCCGUGCCAGCAGCCGCGGUAAUACGGAGGAGGCAAGCGUUAUCCGGAAUUAUUGGGCGUAAAGCGUCCGCAGGUGGUUGGUCAAGUCAGCUGUUAAAGCGUGGGGCUUAACUCCAUAAGGGCAGUUGAAACUGACUAGCUAGAGUGCGAUAGGGGCAAGGGGGAAUUCCCAGUGUAGCGGUGAAAUGCGUAGAUAUUGGGAAGAACACCGGUGGCGAAAGCGCUCUGCUAGGCUGUACCUGACAUUGAUGAACGAAA